AGAUCACCGAAGCAGCAGGAUGUGAGCUACCCCACUGAAAAAGGUUUUAAAUACUUUCUCAUUGUUAUCAUCAAAGUCUCAAGCGGAAGAAAAUUAGAAGAAGAAGAAUUUGUCUGCCUAUAUAGUUGGAAGAAUCUGUGGGGAAGGCCUGGAGGCAGGAGCAGGAGGCUCCCUGGAAAGCCCUUUGUCAUUUUGGAAAUGCUGCUGGCCGCUGGGUGACACAGUUCACAGCUUCAAGGCCUUUGUUUCCUCCUGGAAGAGGCCUGUCCCUGAAGGGAUGAGACGGGUAACAGGGUGAAGCCAGAACUUAGUUACCCUGCAUCUUCAGUCAGGCUAUAACCUCCCGGCCCCUGUCAGAUGCAAAGAUGUAGCGUGCCAAGACACACUGGUGAGAGGCAGGUGAGGGAAGGCGGGUAGAAUCACAUGGGCCAGCCUGUCAAUCACAUCCACCCCAGGAAUGCCGGAGUUGGGAGUCUGCAGGUGGAAAGCUUCAUGGUGCGAUGGCUAAUCUUGGUUCCCAACUUGGCCACAUCUGGAAUCACUGAAGACACAAACUGCUGGGAGCUAUUGUGAGGGGUUUCCCUGAGGAGAGUAUCUGAAGCCCGAAGACCCACCCUGAGUCCGGGUGCCCCCUUCUGAUGACAGUCUAGAUCAAAGGACGUGGAAGAUGGAAGCUUUGCUGCUGCCCGCUUGCCCUCACUGUCCCUGGCAAGUUUAUCCACGCUGUCUCUGACGCUGUCCUUCACCGCCGUCAGAACCACCAUCUUCAGGGUCGCCAUGUAGACCAAAGAUCAGCAGCUCUCCAGGAACGCGCUAGGACUCCAGAGUCAGGUUGGGACUGCUGAGAUACCCAGCCUCAUGGGCUGAGCAGCUAUCGGAUCCUUGGCCUCCCCAGUGUGAGAUGGACAUUUUUGGACUACCAGUGCUACA